AUAACAGUUAGGGAGCAAAGAGAAGAAGCCAAUUGUAUUUCCUAAUCACAGUAACACAGACACCAAGGGCUACUGUGGAAGGCUCCUGUUGGCCCUAUGGAUUAUAGUGAUCAGAGCCAGCAAGAUGGCUUAGCAGCUGAUGGAAAUCCAGGCAUCUCUGAUGGCUUCAGGCACUGGCACCUAUUCUUCUGUUCAUAGAAAAUAAAAGGAUUGGCAUUUCGCUCGUAAGGGACACAUUUAAAUAGCAAGGUAAAG
rnacentral:lncRNA from 1 species